rnacentral:misc_RNA from 1 species
UCCAGUUUAUAACUGGCAGUUUCCUUAUAGUUCCCGGCAUUACCCGCUGGCAAAUAAGGAUAGGGGUUGCGCUCGUUGCAGGACUUAACCUAACAUCUCACAACACGAGCUGACGACAGCCAUGCAACACCUGUAUGUGAUCCGGCCGAACCGAAGAAGUCCAUUUCUGAACCUCGCGAUCACUAUGUCAAGAGUUGGUAAGGUUUUUCGCGUAACAUCGAAUUAAACCGCAUGUUCCACCACUUGUGCAGGUCCCCGUCAAUUCCUUUGAGUUUUAAUCUUGCGAUCUUACUUCCCAGGCGGAGUGUUUAACGCGUUAGCUACGACACCGAAGUCUAAGACCCCGACGCCUAACACUCAUCGUUUACAGCGUGGACUAC